GUUCCUACAAUGAAUAUGCUACAGCCAAUAUACACCUCAAGAUUUUGAAUGGCUAGGAGAUCGAGUUAUGGUGUAAUCAAACUAUAACACACUCAAGGUGAACUGUCGAUGCACCUCAGAUCAAAGAACUAGAUACACAACUGCAGCAUCGAGCUAGUCAUCGACGAGAAGGUAGACUUCCUUAUGACUGCUCGAUAUGGUCACACUCAGUACUCCAUUCUCAAUGAAUACCUGUACUCUCACUUCGGUAUCUCCACACUAUAGACUCAAGACACAUCUACCCUAAGA
rnacentral:lncRNA from 1 species